rnacentral:rRNA from 1 species
UACGUAGGGUGCAAGCGUUAUCCGGAUUUAUUGGGCGUAAAGGGCUCGUAGGCGGUUCGUCGCGUCCGGUGUGAAAGUCCAUCGCUUAACGGUGGAUCCGCGCCGGGUACGGGCGGGCUUGAGUGCGGUAGGGGAGACUGGAAUUCCCGGUGUAACGGUGGAAUGUGUAGAUAUCGGGAAGAACACCAAUGGCGAAGGCAGGUCUCUGGGCCGUUACUGACGCUAAGGAGCGAAAGCGUGGGGAGCGAACAGG